rnacentral:rRNA from 1 species
AUUGAACGCUGGCGGCAGGCCUAACACAUGCAAGUCGAGCGGUAACACAGGGAGCUUGCUCCUGGGUGACGAGCGGCGGACGGGUGAGUAAUGUCUGGGAAACUGCCUGAUGGAGGGGGAUAACUACUGGAAACGGUAGCUAAUACCGCAUAACGUCGCAAGACCAAAGAGGGGGACCUUCGGGCCUCUUGCCAUCAGAUGUGCCCAGAUGGGAUUAGCUAGUAGGUGGGGUAACGGCUCACCUAGGCGACGAUCCCUAGCUGGUCUGAGAGGAUGACCGGCCACACUGGAACUGAGACACGGUCCAGACUCCUACGGGAGGCAGCAGUGGGGAAUAUUGCACAAUGGGCGCAAGCCUGAUGCAGCCAUGCCGCGUGUAUGAAGAAGGCCUUCGGGUUGUAAAGUACUUUCAGCGGGGAGGAAGGCGUUGUGGUUAAUAACCACAGCGAUUGACGUUACCCGCAGAAGAAGCACCGGCUAACUCCGUGCCAGCAGCCGCCGUAA